rnacentral:rRNA from 1 species
ACGAACGCUGGCGGCGUGCUUAACACCUGCAAGUCGAACGGAAAGGCCCUGCUUUUGUGGGGUGCUCGAGUGGCGAACGGGUGAGUAACGCGUGAGUAACCUGCCCUUGACUUUGGGAUAACUUCAGGAAACUGGGGCUAAUACCGGAUAGGAGCUCCUGCUGCAUGGUGGGGGUUGGAAAGUUUCGGCGGUUGGGGAUGGACUCGCGGCUUAUCAGCUUGUUGGUGGGGUAGUGGCUUACCAAGGCUUUGACGGGUAGCCGGCCUGAGAGGGUGACCGGCCACAUUGGGACUGAGAUACGGCCCAGACUCCUACGGGAGGCAGCAGUGGGGAAUAUUGCACAAUGGGCGGAAGCCUGAUGCAGCAACGCCGCGUGCGGGAUGACGGCCUUCGGGUUGUAAACCGCUUUCGCCUGUGACGAAGCGUGAGUGACGGUAAUGGGUAAAGAAGCACCGGCUAACUACGUG